CAACCCUCAAGCCCUGCUUGGUGUUGGGGUCCUACAGUAUUGUAGGCCCUGAAAACUAGUGGCGGGCUCGCUAUAACUCCGAGCGUAGUAGUAAUAUCUCGUUUAGGAAGUGUAGCGGGUUCUAGCCGUUAAACCCCCCAUUUUAUAA
rnacentral:misc_RNA from 1 species